rnacentral:misc_RNA from 1 species
AAGUCGUAACAAGGUUUCCGUAGGUAUGUAAUCGUACUCCUUUCUUGACUUUUAUGGUGACCAAUGCUAACGGUUCUUUCUAGGUGAACCUGCGGAAGGAUCAUUAAAGAGUUAGGUCUUCUGGGCCCGACCUCCCAACCCCAUGUUUAUUGAACCUUUGUUGCUUCGGCGGACCCGUCUCACGACCGCCGGAGGAUCGCCUCACGGCAUCCUCUGGCCAGCGUCCGCCGAUAGCCAACCCCUAAAACUCCGAAUAAAUCGUGUCGUAUGUCUAAGUCGUGAUUAAAUUAAGCAAAA